rnacentral:rRNA from 1 species
UACGGGGGGGGCAAGCGUUGUUCGGAAUUACUGGGCGUAAAGGGCGCGUAGGCGGCUUGCUAAGUCACACGUGAAAUCCCUCGGCUCAACCGGGGAACUGCGUGUGAUACUGGCGGGCUUGAAUUCGGGAGAGGGAUGUGGAAUUCCAGGUGUAGCGGUGAAAUGCGUAGAUACCUGGAGGAACACCGGUGGCGAAGGCGGCAUCCUGGACCGAGAUUGACGCUGAGGCGCGAAAGCUAGGGGAGCAAACGGG